GUAGGGAAUAUUGCACAAUGGACGAAAGUCUGAUGCAGCAACGCCGCGUGCACGAUGAAGGCCUUCGGGUCGUAAAGUGCUUUUCUGGGAGAUGAGAAAGGACAGUAUCCCAGGAAUAAGUCUCGGCUAACUACGUGCCAGCAGCCGCGGUAAAACGUAGGAGGCGAGCGUUAUCCGGAUUUACUGGGCGUAAAGCGCGUGUAGGCGGUUUGGUAAGUUGGAUGUGAAAGCUCCUGGCUCAACUGGGAGAGGUCGUUCAAAACUACCAGACUUGAGAGUGGUAGAGGAAGGCGGAAUUCCCGGUGUAGUGGUGAAAUGCGUAGAUAUCGGGAGGAACACCAGUGGCGAAAGCGGCCUUCUGGACCAUUUCUGACGCUCAGACGCGAAAGCUAGGGUAGCAAACGGGAUUAGAAACCCUUGUAGUCC
rnacentral:rRNA from 1 species